rnacentral:rRNA from 1 species
CUUACGGAGAGUUUGAUCCUGGCUCAGGACAAACGCUGGCGGCGUGUAUUAGGCAUGCAAGUCGAGCGAGAAGCCGGCCUUCGGGCUGGUGGAGAGCGGCGGACGGGUGAGUAACACGUGGGUAACCUGCCCUGGAGUGGGGGAUAACCCGGCGAAAGCCGGGCUAAUACCGCAUACGACUCCCGAUGAGAGAUCGGGUAGUGAAAACUCCGGUGCUCCGGGAGGGGCCCGCGGCCGAUUAGCUAGUUGGUGAGGUAACGGCCCACCAAGGCGACGAUCGGUAGCUGGUCUGAGAGGAUGGUCAGCCACACGGGGACUGAGAACGGCCCCGACUCCUACGGGAGGCAGCAGCUAAGAAUCUUGCGCAAUGGGCGAAAGCCUGACGCAGCAACGCCGCGUGCGGGAGGAAGGCCUUCGGGUUGUAAACCGCUUUUGCGAGGGAAGAAGUACUGACGGUACCUCGCGAAUAAGUCACGGCUAACUACGUGCCAGCAGCCGCGGUAAUACGUAGGUGACAAGCGUUGUCCGGAUUUACUGGGCGUAAAGCGCCCGCAGGCGGCCUUGCAAGUUUCAGGUGAAAUCUCCCGGCUCAACCGGGAGGGGUCCUGGAAAACUGCCAGGCUUGAGGCAGGGAGGGGAAUGCGGAAUUUCCGGUGUAGCGGUGAAAUGCGUAGAUAUCGGAAGGAACACCAGCGGCGAAGGCGGCAUUCUGGCCCUGUCCUGACGCUCAGGGGCGAAAGCGUGGGGAGCGAACCGGAUUAGAUACCCGGGUAGUCCACGCUGUAAACGAUGAGUACUAGGUGUUGGGGGUAUCGACCCCCUCAGUGCCGAAGCUAACGCGAUAAGUACUCCGCCUGAGGACUACGGCCGCAAGGCUAAAACUCAAAGGAAUUGACGGGGGCCCGCACAAGCA